rnacentral:lncRNA from 1 species
AAACUGCCCCCAGCUCUGCCACCCCCUCAAGCUCCUACACCGGCUCCCUUCCCUUCAGGACUCGACUUCCACAAGAGUCACACACGCGUGUCCACUUCCUCUUCACCCACGUGCCUGUGAGAGCCUCCUCGCACACACGCCUGCAAUCCCGAGCAGCGGGUCCGCCUGCAGCGCUCUAACGACACGAGCCUUCCACCAGCGAGGACCUGAAGCAGAAAGCAAGUGCCUGUUCCCUGCACUGGUCCUCCUCUGCACCUCGCUCUCUGAAGCGCACACUCUCCUCCUCGAAACUCCACCUUCCAGCGGGUUCGGCGUCAGGGGAAGCUUCUGGCUCUGCCUCUCUGUCCUCGCUGAUUUCUCCUCUAGUUUCUAGGAGUGGGCUAGGCAGGGACAGCCGCAAGAUACCCUAAACCUUCAGGAUGUCCUAACUUGGCAAAUGCCGGAACACCUGCAGAGGUUCGGAGCUUCCUCCUGAGUCGUGUUGGAGGCAGGGGCCCGUCUCCUGUGUUUCAGUCACUGCCACCAGGUAAGCGCUUCGAUAACUUUUGCUAAAGCGUAACUCUCACUUGAUGACCAUUUUCUACAAAGAAGUAAAUCACCUAAAUGAGAAUUACCGCCUCUACCACGAUGAGGAAGAAAAACUCAGGAUGCCGGGCAACUUGGUAGAUUCACGCCGAGCCAGGGGGCUCACUCCCGCAGCAGCCGGCCCGGUCACGCCUCGAAAGAUCUGCGAGCGCCAUGCCGUUAACUCUCAGCCUCUUCAAAACAUACAGACUCCAAGCGCCGCACCAGACACGCGAACGUCAGGGCAUCCUCCCGCUCCAGCAGCGCAGGCUCUCCGCGGCCUUCUCUUUCACCUCGAGGAUGCGACCGUCACUCCCAGGUGGACGGGGCUUCCUCUGGCACCCUGGGCUCUGUCCUCCGAUCCCGACACCAUCACGCCCACACUCUGUCGGGUGCCUCAGACUCAUAUGCCUGACACUAAUCAAUCGUCCCCAGCCCCACCUCCUCCUGCGGUUCUGAGUUGAGUCAAGGACGUGACGGGAACCUCCAAGGUACCAGAACCUAACCUUCAGGAUGAUGCUGUCCUCUGCCCUCCGGCCUGCUCCGAAGCUCCAGGCUCCCUGAGCUCAGGCCAGGCAGUGUGUUCAGUUGGCUGCCCCUGUGGCCUGCAUGUGUUCCUGUACACACACGGCAGGGGCUGGAGCGUGUCUGUGAGUGCGUGAGCUCCCCGUACACACACAGCAGGUGCUGGAGUGCGUCUGUGAGGGUGUGAGCGCCCUAUACACAUACGACAGGCGCUUGAACAUGUCUGAGCACCCCGUACACACACAGCAGGUGCCAGAGCACGUCUGUGAGCACGUGAGCACCCUGCACACACAUGGCAGGUGCUGGAGUGUGUCUGUGAGCGCGUGAGCACCCUGUACACACAUGGCACGUGCCAGAGUGCGCCUGUGAGCAUGUGAGCGCCCUGUACACACACGGCAGGUGCUGGAGCAUGUCUGUGAGCGCCCCUGUACACACACAGCAGGUGCUGGAAUGUGUCUGUGAGUGUGCGAGCACCCUGUACACACAGGGCAGGUGCUGGAGCGUGUCUGUGAGCGCAUGAGUGCCCUGUACACACAUGGCAGGUGCCGGAGCAUGUCUGUGAGCACGUGAAUCCCCUGGACACACAUGGCAGAUGCCGGAGCAUGUCUGUGAGCGCCCCGGACACACACAGCAGGUGCUGGAGAUUGUCUGUGAGGGUGUGAGCGCCCUGUACACACACAGCAGGUGCUGGAGUGCGUCUGUGAGUGUGCGAGCACCCUGUACACACACGGCAGGUGCUGGAGAGUGUCUGUGAGCGCAUGCGUGGCCCGUACACACACGGCAGGUGCCAGAGCACGUCUGUGAGCACGUGAGUGGCCUGUACACACACGGCAGAUGCCGGAGCACGUCUGUGAGCGCCCCGUACACACACAGCAGGUGCUGGAGUAUGUCUGUGAACGCGUGAGUGCCGGUACCCGUGGUGAAGGGACACCC